GUGUAACCUUACCUAACUUCAUCUCACUGACAGAAAGUGUGUAGCAAUGAGAGUUCCCAGUGGCUGGGAGUGUGUGUCUUGAGUAGUGUGUGUCCACUGGAGUAUAGUGUGUGUCUGGAGUAGUGUGUGUCCACUGGAGUAGUGUGUGUGUCUGGAGUAGUGUGUGUCUGGAGUAGUGUGUGUCUGGAGUAGUGUGUGUGUGGAGUAGUGUGUGUCUGGAGUAGUGUGUGUGUGGAGUAGUGUGUGUCCACUGGAGUAGUGUGUGUGUGGAGUAGUGUGUGUCCACUGGAGUAGUGUGUGUCUGGAGUAGUGUGUGUCCACUGGAGUAGUGUGUGUGUGGAGUAGUGUGUGUGUGUGUGGAGUAGUGUGUGUCUGGAGUAGUGUGUGUCUGGAUUAGUGUGUGUCCACUGGAGUAGUGUGUGUGUGGAGUAGUUUGUGUGUGUCUGGAGUAGUGUGUGUCUGGAGUAGUGUGUGUCCACUGCAGUAGUGUGUGUCCACUGCAGUAGUGUGUGUCUGGAGUAGUGUGUGUCUGGAGUAGUGUGUGUGUGGAGUAGUGUGUGUGUCUGGAGUAGUGUGUGUCCACUGGAGUAGUGUGUGUCUGGAGUAGUGUGUGUGGAGUAGUGUGUGUGUGGAGUAGUGUGUGUGUCUGGAGUAGUGUGUGUCCACUGGAGUAGUGUGUGUCUGGAGUAGUGUGUGUGUGGAGUAGUGUGUGUGUGGAGUAGUGUGUGUCUGGAGUAGUGUGUGUGUGGAGUAGUGUGUGUCUGGAGUAGUGUGUGUGUGGAGUAGUGUGUGUGUGGAGUAGUGUGUGUGUCCACUGGAGUAGUGUGUGUCUGGAGUAGUGUGUGUCUGGAGUAGUGUGUGUCCACUGGAGUAGUGUGUGUCUGGAGUAGUGUGUGUGUGGAGUAGUGUGUGUCUGGAGUAGUGUAUGUCCACUGGAGUAGUGUGUGUCUGGAGUAGUGUGUGUGUGGAGUAGUGUGUGUCUGGAGUAGUCUGUGUGUGGAGUAGUGUGUGUGUGGAGUAGUGUGUGUGUGUCUGGAGUAGUGUGUGUCCACUGGAGUAGUGUGUUUGUGUCUGGAGUAGUGUGUGUCCACUGGAGUAGUGUGUGUGUCUGGAGUAGUGUGUGUCUGGAGAAGUGUGUGUGUGGAGUAGUGUGUGUCUGGAGUAGUGUGUGUCUGGAGAAGUGUGUGUGUGGAGUAGUGUGUGUGUGUCCACUGGAGUAGUGUGUGUGGAGUAGUGUGUGUCUAGAGUAGUGUGUGUGUGGAGUAGUGUGUGUGUGUCCACUGGAGUAGUGUGUGUGGAGUAGUGUGUGUCUGGAGUAGUGUGUCCACUGGAGUAGUGUGUGUGUGUGGAGUAGUGUGUGU
ensembl:lncRNA